rnacentral:lncRNA from 1 species
UAGUGUUUAUUGUUAGAAAAUACUUCUAUUUUAAAUAAAUGCUCUUCUUUUUAACAUUUCAUUCAUCAAAUAAUCCUGAAAGAAGUAUCACAGUUCAGCAGCACAACUCUGAUAAUAAAUCAGUAAUGGAGUAAUGAUGCUGAAAAUCACAGAAAUAAAAUAGAUUUUAAUGUAUUUUAAAAUAGAAAAAUAUUUUUUUACUUCAUAAUAAUACAUUUUUUUAAAUCCUGUAUUUUUGAUGAUUAAAAGAAACUCCUAUAAAAACAAACAAACAUUAGAAAUCAUUCUGAUCCCAAACUCUGACCUGUGUGUGUGUGUGUGUGUGUGUGUGUGUAGCAUUUACACACUAAUCCCCACAAUAAUAAAGAUCUUAAAUACUCAUAUGAGGAGGAAACAAUGUUGCAUCAUAAUGAAAGGAUGUGUAACGUACACUUUUCUGUAAACUGAGCCAAACAUUUUUUUCACUGAUUUAGGGUAGAGUAAGAAUAUUUCACCCGAUUCGAACGUUAUCACUCGAUUGAAUGGGGCGUUAUCAGCGGUUAUCAGCCCAUAGAAAUGGGCCAGGAGGGGCCUCCUGUAACUACUAGUAGGCUCAGAAGGCCGUGAUCAUCCAUCCAAAUGGUUGAUCACCCACAAAUAUACAAGAGAAGACUCCAGAUCCAAUCCCAGAAUUCCUGCUCACCUGUAAUCGGAAGUCUACUGGACGAAAGCGGCAACGUUGCGAUAUUUCCUGCUUAAUAUUUUCAGAUAUGGGAAAAGCACUUAAGAUGAGCACACGUUUCAGGAACGUUAAAAUUAAGUUGGUGAGGAGGUCUAUUGCGGGCCCUGCAAAGUUUUCUUACCUCAGUCAAGGUCUUCCCCAGCCCAGCUACAAACAGAGCCACCCUUCAGACCCUUCUAUUACAUCUCAACCUGCUGAACCUGAUGAUGUGACACAGAGCUGUUCUGAGAGUGCAUACAGUAAGGCAAAGAAGAGAGAGCUUCAUGCCUGGGAUACAGUCAAGGAUGAGAUGCUUAAGGUGUCGUUUGAAUGUCGUCUGAAUCCACUGACGGCUCUGCACCGUUACAGUCAACAUGUGUGCGUGUGA